ACCCGCUGAACUUAAGCAUAUCAAUAAGCGGAGGAAAAGAAACCAACAGGGAUUGCCCCAGUAACGGCGAGUGAAGCGGCAACAGCUCAAAUUUGAAAUCUGGCCCCCCCCGGGGGGCCCGAGUUGUAAUUUGCAGAGGAUGCUUUGGGCGAGGCGCCUUCCGAGUUCCCUGGAACGGGACGCCACAGAGGGUGAGAGCCCCGUCUGGUCGGACGCCGAGCCUCUGUAAAGCUCCUUCGACGAGUCGAGUAGUUUGGGAAUGCUGCUCAAAAUGGGAGGUAUAUGUCUUCUAAAGCUAAAUACCGGCCAGAGACCGAUAGCGCACAAGUAGAGUGAUCGAAAGAUGAAAAGCACCUUGAAAAGGGGGUUAAACAGUACGUGAAAUUGUUGAAAGGGAAGCGCUCGUGACCAGCUUUGGGGCGGGCGGAUCAGCCGGCGUUCUCGCCGGCGCACUCCGCCCGUCCCAGGCCAGCAUCAGUUCGCGCCGGGGGACAAAGGCGGCGGGAACGUGGCUCCCCAGGGAGUGUUAUAGCCCGCCGCGCCAUGCCCCGGGGGCGGACUGAGGGCCGCGCAUCACUGCAAGGAUGCUGGCGUAAUGGUCACCAGCGACCCGUCUUGAAACACGGGCCAAGGAGUCGUCCUCGUAUGCGAGUGUUCGGGUGUCAAACCCCUACGCGGAAUGAAAGUGAACGUGGGUGAGAGCUUCGGCGCAUCAUCGACCGAUCCUGAUGUUCUCGGAUGGAUUUGAGUAGGAGCAUACGGGGCCGGACCCGAAAGAAGGUGAACUAUGCCUGUGUAGGGUGAAGCCAGAGGAAACUCUGGUGGAGGCUCGCAGCGGUUCUGACGUGCAAAUCGAUCGUCAAACAUGGGCAUGGGGGCGAAAGACUAAUCGAACCUUCUAGUAGCUGGUUUCCGCCGAAGUUUCCCUCAGGA
rnacentral:rRNA from 1 species